UACGUAGGGGCCUAGCGUUGUCCGGAUUUAUUGGGCGUAAAGUGUGCGCAGGCGGCCGCGCAAGUCGAGUGUGAAAGCCCCGGGCUUAACUUGGGAAUUGCGCUCGAAACUACGUGGCUGGAGUGUGGCAGAGGAAGGUGGAAUUCCAGGUGUAGCGGUGAAAUGCGUAGAGAUCUGGAGGAACACCGAUGGCGAAGGCAGCCUUCUGGGCCAACACUGACGCUCAUGCACGAAAGCGUGGGGAGCAAACAGG
rnacentral:rRNA from 1 species